GUGGGGAAUAUUGCGCAAUGGGGGAAACCCUGACGCAGCGACGCCGUGUGAGGGAAGAAGGCUUUCGGGUCGUAAACCUCUGUCAGAAAGGAAGAACCUCCCAAGUCCGAAUAGGGCUUGGGACUGACGGUACUUUCAAAGGAAGCACCGGCUAACUCCGUGCCAGCAGCCGCGGUAAUACGGAGGGUGCAAGCGUUAAUCGGAAUCACUGGGCGUAAAGCGCGCGUAGGCCGCUUUGUAAGUCGGACGUGAAAGCCCUCGGCUCAACCGGGGAACUGCGUUCGAUACUGCGAGGCUUGAGUCCUGGAGAGGGUGGCGGAAUUCCGGGUGUAGGAGUGAAAUCCGUAGAUAUCCGGAGGAACACCGGUGGCGAAGGCGGCCACCUGGCCAGGUACUGACGCUGAGGCGCGAAAGCGUGGGGAGCAAACAGGAUUAGAAACCCUUGUAGUCC
rnacentral:rRNA from 1 species